GGGCCUACGUAGCUCAGCUGGUUAGAGCGCACGCCUGAUAAGCGUGAGGUCGGUGGUUCGAGUCCACUCAGGCCACCA
rnacentral:tRNA from 1 species